UUGUCUCUCUUCCUUCAAACUCUCUCCGCUCUCUUUUCUCCUCCUCGUUGCGGCCGCGGUGGUGUUUUUGCCAGUGACUGUGAAGAUGAUGGCGGCGAACCGGCGGCGGUGGUGGAAGAUCCAUAUCCUAGUUUGAACCUAAGACAAACCGAAGAGAUUGGAUUUUCACUUCAUAUCAAACUAGGAUCUGGAUCUGUACCUCAAGAGAAUAAUCAUAUCUUACAUUUUCACUGAGCUAUUUCCUGAGGCUUAACUAACAGACUUGAGAGAUUUUGGAGACAAGAUGAGAAGACAUGUCAUUAUUCUGAGCAGACACAUAUUUUUGGUUGUCUCCAAUUUGCCUGUAAGUUUGUUAUUAGUUUUAGAAGAUUAUCUUUUUAAAAUUUGCUUAUUUCUAAUGUCAUUGCCUUGUGCCCCUUGUUUUUUGAGGAGAAUGAUAAGGUGGAGGUGGUGAUGCUUUCCCCAGCUGAUCGACUAACAUUAUUAUGUGCGUUUUGUUUUUCUUAACGGAAGAGGUUUUCCUUUAUUCUACGUGAUGAUUGCCAUUUCUCGCAGUCUGGUAGCAAGUAUUUAAGUAUUUCUUACAUUAAAACCACUUGAUUUGUUUUACUGAAGGAAUGAGCACCUAAAGGAAAGAUAGGAUAUGCAUGUGGGUGGCUUACACAGAUAACUGAAUCCUACUACCGUUUUGAGUUUUGACCUUUGCACAUUUUCACUCAAAGGUGGAGUGAUGCUAAACUAUUUUGUGACAGUUGUUUUAUGUAUAGUAGAUCUAUUGAGUUUUUAGUCUUUGUAUCUUUUGUCAAGAGUUGAUUCAAUUGGCUCUAUACUGGAUACAUCUCCUAACCUAACCUAACUUAUCUUUCAUUUAUUUGACUUAAAGUAAUUUUCUUUAGCUGUUUGAGUGGCCCUACAUCUAUCUAAAAUCUGCGUUUUCAUUUCUUGGAUGUCUGAAACAUGUUACAAACUUUUCUUUGUAAUUCUCUUCCUUGAAUUUUCUUGACUCUCUAUUGCCUUCUUUUUAUAAUAAUCAAUCUAUGAAUCCAGCUUUAUCAGUCUGAUAUACUGCUAUUCAGAGUGUAGAUGAUGAUACGCCCUAACUUAAUUUUGCUGUUUGAUUUCAUUUUUAUAUCCUAUGCACAUGUAUUAAAGAUCUUAAAAGGGGAAUGUUGCACACACUGAUGCCUAAAUCUUGACUUAUGGAUCUACUUUCAGAACUUAUUUGUUGUUCCUUCCUAAAUCAUUGUUGUUCUCUUUUAUUUUAAGAUGUUUCCUCAAAUUUGUGGAUUCGUUUAUGUUUCUUUUGAUCAGGGAGUUCUCGUAAACUCUUAACAGGUCUCUAAUUUAUACUCUUCCAAAACCUGCCUCUCACAUGAAACUUUUUUGGUUGGUCCCUUGGCAUUCGGGUGGGACCCACCAUUCCCCAAAAUGGUUAAUUAUUGGGUGUUUGAGCUGGCAGUCUUUUAGAGUGGCUGACCCGGUGUAAAAUGAAUAACCUUUUUGGGAAUGGUGGGUCCCACACGAAAGCUAUGGAACCCACCAAAAUAGCAUUAAAUGUGAUUGUGCGGUUUUGGAUGAGUGUGAAUGUGAAUUUGAUUGUGGCGUGCAUUAGUUCUUAGCUCUGGACUUUCUGUUUCCUUCCUAGUUUAAACAAUUGAUGUUUUCAAAAUCAAAAUUGAGUCUUGACCCUGGAUGUGUAAAUUGGUUGCUUGCCGUAGUGCAAGUUGUGCGAGGCUCGGACAGGCCGGCGUAAAACCUAUGUUCUACUCUUAGGAGAUAUUCUCUAGUCGACCCGGUACUUGCUACUGGAAAAGACUUUGGAUUUGGAUUUGGUAUUGUCGCGCAUGCCUUUUUGACACUGGAUGUGUAAAUUGGUUUAUGAAUUGGAUAUGAUGUCGCGCGAGCAGUUCGGUUUCUUGCAUUCUUAAUCCUCAUAGUUGAUGGAAAACUUGUAUAGCUAGUCUUUAAUGUUUUCCAAUAGAAUAUAAAACCCGCCAUGUGAAAUGUCUUUGUACGUGUUUCGUGGCUUUGUUUAUGAUGAUAAAUCUAAGGCUUGUUUCUCAGAAACAUUCUCAGUUGCCUUUCACAGGGCUUGAGAGCUGAUGCUGCUUUAUUCUUUCUCUGGAUGUCUGUAACAUUUUGGUAACUUUUGUUGUGGUGAUUCUUUUCCUUGUAUAUUCUUGAAUGAUGUGCUGUUGUAUUCCUGAAUGAACAAAGGGGAUUACUAUUGUUCAGAAUCUAGCUGCAAAGGAGACAUAAAAACUUGCGAACAGGUGAAAAAAGAUAUUGCUAGAUUCCCACAUUUCUCCUAUUCUUUUACCAUUUUUGCUAGAAUCUGAUAUUUCCUUUAGUGCUGCUUUUGUCAUUUGUGGUUGUAAUUGUUGUUUAUGAUUAGUGUUAAAUUAGUAUGAAUGACUAUGGGUGACUACCAUGGAUCUCUAGUGAUUGUUUAGAUGAUUGCACAAUCUGAUUAUACAAGGGAUGAAGCAUGGAUAACUAUCUGAAGUCAAACCUUUUUUGUAAAGUCAGCUUCAUUAGUUGUUAUUGUCCUUGUGGUAUAUGUUUUCAUGUGAAGCUAAUAUAAAAUAAAAUAGUUUCCCUUGUGGUCUUGGUCUUCUUGUUUCUUGAGGAGUGUUGGAACUCAAACGAGAUAUAAUAUAUGAACUUAUUAAGUUAUUUGUCAGUUGAGUUAGUAGUCACGAUAUUUGUAGCUUAUAUCAUAUUCUCUGGAGCUGUGAUGCUGUAAUUUUAGUCAAGAGAUUUAUAGAUGGUUGUGCGAUGUUUUUUCAGUAGAGUAUGCCUGGAAAUUUUAAUGAUAUUAUAAGCUUUGCCAAGCAUAGAAGUCCAGUAUUCAACGAGGUUUGGUGAACUGCUGCUCUUUGUGCUAUGAAAGAGCUUUGCUUCUUAAGAAGGUUGCUUUUCACAAAAAAUUCAGCCUAGUAGCAGAGCAGUGAAGAUGAAAAUUUGCUCAUUUACUAAGAUUGUGAUAGCUGAAUAAAAGGCAAUAUGUGGAAUGGUGCUUAUGACCUCCAAAUCCUCAAGUUCUUUGGUUUGCGAUGUAGACAGGUAAAAGCUAUUGAAGCUAGGCAGAUUUUUUGGGCUUUGCCUCCCUAUUCGAUUCAUAAUCUGUUGUGGUAGAGCAACUAGAGGUAAUCUAGGACCAGGCUAUGGUUUCAUCAUCAGGUGUUCUGUGGGAGUUGUUCUGGAAACGGUAGCUGAAGGCGUCGGAAUUGCUUUUAACUUGCUAUCUUCAAUUCUUGCCGUUAUCUUUGAUUUGGAAUUGAUUUGUCAGAGAGGUUUGCACAAAGUUCUGGUAAGCUUCCUUGGACAGUGAUCUCAAGGUGGAAAACCAUCAGAAAGGCCUAUAGUUGAGUGGCAGUCACUUUCUCUGAUCUCCACACUGAAGCUGGUCUAAAAAUCUAUAUCUCUGGAGAUCAGAUCAUUAGAGACGUAAAGAUUUUUGCUGCAGUUUCAGAGGAGAGGGAAACAGUGAGACGGAGACUGACAUGAAGAAGCAAUGCUGAUUGCUGUUGGUUGAGAUAUCAAGAAACUGACAAUCAUGAUUACCUUGUCUCAGUGGACACUGUCAUCGAUCACAUUGGAGCCUGCCGGCUAUUACAUCCAGAGCUGUUGGGAUAUUGAUGCCUUCAACAAAAUCUAAGACCACUGAUGUUGCAUUUAACAAAAAAAAAAAAACGUAAUUACCAACCUAUUUCUUGACAUUUUUGCUUCUAGAAUUUUUUGAGAGUUCAUCCAAACAUUCUUAUAAUAAUGAAGCAGCUUGCAGGUUGUUUAUCUUUUUCU